rnacentral:rRNA from 1 species
UUUCCGUAGGUGAACCUGCGGAAGGAUCAUUGUCGAAACCUGCAAAAGCAGACCGUGAACACGUUUAUCCACUUGGAGAUCACGUUUAGGGGGAAACCCCUCAACACGUUCUCUUCCCGCAUGGUGCACUUUGUGGGCUAACGAACCCCGGCGCGGCAUGCGCCAAGGAAAACUCAUAGAAGCGUCCCCCUCUCGUUGCCCCGUUCGCGGUGUGCGACGGGAGAUGAUUCUCAAUGUCAAAACGACUCUCGGCAACGGAUAUCUCGGCUCUCGCAUCGAUGAAGAACGUAGCGAAAUGCGAUACUUGGUGUGAAUUGCAGAAUCCCGUGAACCAUCGAGUCUUUGAACGCAAGUUGCGCCCAAAGCCAUUAGGCCAAGGGCACGUCUGCCUGGGCGUCACGCAUCGCGUCGCCCCCCCAUCCCUCCCCGGACAAUGGCCUCCCGUGCAUGACCUUGUGUGGUUGGCCUAAAAUAGAUCCCGCGGCGACUCACGUCACGACCAGUGGUGGUUGAACACUCAACUCGCGUGCUGUCGUGGCUGUCCUCGUGUUUGGUAUCACAAAGAAGACCCAAUGGUGCGAGUCACUCGUGCUUUCGACCGCGACCCCAGGUCAGGCGGGAUUACCCGCUGAGUUUAA